rnacentral:lncRNA from 1 species
GAAGCCUAGUAUGUCGCGACGACAUCUACAUCACCAAACAAGGUUAGUCCUAACAUUCCCAUCUACUUAAAUCCCACGUUGGAACAACUUGGUUUAUCCUAAGGUAGAAGGGCGACUCUUAUUUUUGACUCGAUAAAAUAAACAUCACAACACAAAAUUUCUCUUUUAUACUUCCAUAUUCAUUCACACAUCACAAUACUUUUCCGCAUCUCAUCACCACAUUAUUCCUCAUCACAACACAACACAACACAACACACAAAGUUAUCCAACGAUAAGACUUUGUUCAAUCCAUAAACAUAUCUUACAUUCAUAUCAUACAUUUUUUCUUACAACGGUGGGUUUACACAUACCCAUUCAAAUUUUCUUACAAUUUCGGAUUUAUAACCACUACACACUUGCUCUCACACUUUUCGCCGAAGAGAUUACAAACCAAUAUAGUACAAUCCUAAAAUGCAAUGCUAGAAUGAAAUGCAACAAGGAAUCAUACACUGAGUUAGAACCCUUACUUACCUCGCUGGAACCUAACGGUUUGAAGGUUUAGGGUAAUCCUAGUUAAUACUAAGGUUUUUCUUCUUCUACGCGAACGUACUCGGGCUUGGGCUUGACGGACCGGGAUUCUCUGGACGCUUCCUUGGACACACGGUCGCGUAAUAACCUUCACCUCCACACUCAUAACAGAUCACGUACGGGCGAGCAUAAGGAUGAUAGUGACAAACAUAAGGACAAGCUCUCGGGUAAUGACCAUCUUGGCCGCAAGUGAAGCAAAACGACAUUACACUAUAAGGUUCGGACCUACGUCCAUCCUCACGCUCUAUCUCAGUCACAACGGUUCUAUUCGCGGAUCUCCUUAUCUUUUCAUUCCAAAUGGGUAUACCUUCGGGUGGUCGGAUUGGCUCAAUACCAAGGGUACCCACAACAAUCAUGUUCUCAAUCAUCGUAGCUAUGGAACUAGAUUCCAAAGUCACCGGCUCACGAAUCGACUCAUCCGGAGGAAACAACACUCCCGGCUCAUCAACUGGUGGCUGAGUACCCGGGGCACACUCAAACAUCAGAUCCGACACUUCUUCACCCACGUCUUCGUCAACUUCUUCAUCCUCAGAACUCAUAUGGAGCAUCUAACUAGUAGCUCCAUCAUACCCAUCAUACCAAGUCCUACUAGCAAAUCUCCUUGGCGAAAUAGACAUCCUCGACAUCUCGGUUUUCACACUUUUGGAAAAUGGCACCCCACUACCCAACUCAUCCGCAUUAGAUAACUCACUAUCCGACGAGAUUUCAACAAAGUUCAGGGUUGGCGGACUAGGUGGCGUAGCAAAUUCGACAUCGGGCGACACCAUGUUGUAAGCCAGCGCUUGCCUAGGAAUCCCAUAUUUUGUCAGCAUAAACACAACACAGUCAGAUUCGCGCGAGGCAUUACCUUCCGAAGGCGCAUCAGAAACACCAAAGUCUAUCCCCAAGAACAUUGAGCUGAACGAAUCCAACGUCAACAAGCUAUCCGGCGUCGGAGGAUAAAGGUAUGUGUGGAUGUAGGAUUCACACUCGAUUAUCUUUAAGUAUUUUUGUGGAGAAAAACUCUUGUUAAAUCAGGAAAUAAAUAUGAGAAUUUGAAAAGGAAAACAACCAAGAAAACGAGUAAAGAAAUUUGAAGAAAGAUGAAGUGCAAAAUGCCUUGCGAAAAUAGUAAAGAGAGAAAGAAGUAUUGUAUUGUUUAGAAGUAAUCAGUAAUGAGAUUCGUCCUUCUCAAACACAUGCGUUUGAGGUUGUUUUUAUAGAGAAAACAUGAUCAAUGCCGUCAUUUACUGCUUAUAAUCGCGUUGAUCAGCAUUAAUCAUGUAAGUUACAUUUUGACCGAAACGGCUUGAAUUUGAACUAUCUUGGGCUUCGCGUGGAUCUUCCGAACUCUUUCUUGUUGACUCCGAACUCCCGCGUCUUGACGCUGCCGCGAGCCUCGAACAAUAUUCUCCUCGCUUUGGCCUUUCUCUAUGCGAACUGUAUGUUGAACAAGAGAGAACUCCGUACUGGUAAAGAUCGAACUCUUUUAGUAAACUGAAUCGAACUCCCGACAGAUUAAGCUCGAUUCUCAUAACAAAAUAUCUUUAAUUCCAAGAGGAUUAUUAUGUAAUAAUGACGUGGACAGAUCCAACUGGAUCCUACCAAAAAUGUGUGGGAUCCGACCCCAACAUUUAGCCCCCCAAGUCUUGCGAGCUAUGUGCUCGGCUUGGAAGACUUAAGUAAACAGUAAUUAAUGACUCAAGAUCUUUAACAUUCUGGAAUUAUUCCAUGUUUUACGUUAUUACGCCGAUCUCGGAUAAUCAAAUGAUUUGAUAUCCCUGACAACCGUCAUCAUUAAUUUUCUAAUUUUAUAUUAAUACUGCGGGGAAAACUAUCCCACUUCCCAAUAUUCUCGAGGCGGUUUUCUGCUAAAUAAGGUUAAAUGGAACGACGGCUUUUACAGCAGCGUACAUUUACCCCUAAAAACUUUUACCAAACCAGAAAAAGCGAAAUCUCUUAGUAAAAAAAUGUCUUCCCCAGCCGUCUAUGUUUCGGACAACGAAGAUGACAGUCAAGGAAUCCCUGUUCCCAGAGGGGACGAAGUCUUCACCCAAAGAGGAGACAAAUUUGGUCCGCAUUUCAGGUCUCAGUCGACCCCUGCUUCCCUUGGCGCUCUUCGCCGCCUUUGUAACAUCCCUCAGGAAAUUGAAUUCUCUCUUCCUAGACCCAACGAGUCUCCGGAAGUGGUGCGAGAGGGUUACUGUUGUGCGUACGAAGUCUAUUUCAAAGGUUGCGGUUUGUUUUUUCCCAUACCGGAAGUUCUUCUAUUGUACCUCCUCCACCUAGGGAUUGCCUUUCCCCAAAUGGCUCCCAACUUUCUUCGAUACGUUCUGAGCACCCUGACUGUUUGGGCAGAAGCAGGGUUUUUCCUCACCACUAGCGAACUCUUAGGGCUAUUUCGAGCCCGUGAAUCCGCAGCAGCGGGUAUUUUUUCUAUGAACCCUAUUCUUGACCGUAACCUGAUCGACGAAAUGCCCUCGAAUGACGGGUCUUGGAGGAAAUACUGGUUCUUUUUCCGAGUCAAUCCCCAUUCCGUUCAAGGCCUUUCCGGUCUUCUUCUCGCCAAUUGGUCGGCUAAACUUGGUUAGAAAUCCAACCUUUAUUACUUUCCACUGUAUUGUGUAAAAGAGAUAGAAUUCUUAACUCAGCACUUUGUUUCAGGGAACCAGACGAUCCCCCUCCCAACUGUUGACUUCUUGUCUUUCUUUCGAAUUGUUUCUGAGGGUGAAACAAAUUGGAAAUCUUUCACCCUUCAACGCAUUCAUAAAACGGGGCUCGCCAUCAAAGACGGUCAGACUCACCCCCUCGAUCCUCCUCCCGAAGAGAAAGACGUCUCGAGCCUGAAUGCUCGAGAUAAAAGAAAAAUGCAAGCCGAAACCAAGGCUCUUAAGGAUCAGUUAUCCGAAAUAGGGAGAAAGAAGCGGAUAGCCGCAAUCUCCAAGGUUAGUAACUUCCACAGGAAGACCCUCUUGGUUGAUGAUGGAUCAUUAGAAGCGGCCCUGUCAAUUGCGGUGGAUGUUCAUGGAGCCGAGAUUCUUAAUGACCCUCCAGUCGCCACCGCAAUUUGCCCUUCCGAACAAGAGCAAGAGGGAGAAGUAACUUCCUCUCCUUGUACAAAGAGGAAGGCUUCAGAUUCUGAUACUCUAUCAAACGAGAGACUCAAAACCGUGAGAUUAAGUUCUCCGCCACGAGUCCCUAGCCCUCUGCAUUCUGUUUUUCCCUCUUCAGAACCUUUAGACUCUGAGCUCCCUCUUCCGGGAGACAGAGUAAUUCCAGAGGAAAUCGAUGAGCCGAGACCGGAGGCUCCCCUAUCUCAAGGACUGAGUGUUAGGACUCAAAAUCCUUUACCCGCUUCGAUUUCAGGUAAGUUUUUACUUAGAAAGCGAGCAUUAGCAAGACUUGUUACGGAUUGUAGCUUAUUUUAUCAAUCUGCUAUUCUCCUCUGCUUCAUAGGUGGAGAAGAGAUUGGCGACAUCUUCCGAAGUUUCCAAACCAGGGAAGGGGUGUCCCUUCCUCCUUUUUCGGUUUAGAGGCCGGAAAUCCGUCAGAUGUUCGCUAAUCGAGUCUGCUACCUAUCCUUGGUUCGGAUCUUUUAGAUUAUGGCAAUCCCUCUUUCUUAGGUAAAAAACUUUUUGUCUUAAUGACACGUUGUUGUUUUUUUUUUUUAAUCCGAAAGCGUUUAUGGAGACUAAUGGAAUGAUCUUCCAUUAUGAGAACCUUCUUCACCAAGCGAAGAGAGAGACCGCAAAGGCUAAGAAGGAGGUUGAUGAACUUAGAUUAGUCACCUAGUCUGAGCAACUUUAGCGGGCAAAAGCACUCGAGUCAUCUUUUGAGAACAUGAAGAAAACUCUAGUAGCUAACGAGCAACGCAUCAGAAUUUCGAAUGCUAAAAGAGAUUCUGCGAGGUCUAAUGCUCUUCGUUUGGAGGCUGAGCUAGAAGAGACUACGGCUUUGUUCGAAGAGGCGAAUCAAGAGAUCAAGCUUUUAACUAGGAACAGGGCUCGCGAUAUCGCUGAAGCCAAACAUAACGCUCGAGAAGAGAUGAGGGGAUUCGGUAGGCAACUUAUUCAAUCUGUUACGAAGUUCAUCAAGGACGAAGAGGUCUGGACUAAACUUCUAACCGAUCGAGCCGAACUAAAGAGCAAUCUAGACCUGAUUAAGGAACUAGAGACUAGAAGAGUUUCGUUCGAGAGCGAGAGGAGCGAAGUUGCUGCCGAACUCGCUGUGGUUGAAUCCGAGCUAUCCUCGGCUUCCCGUCAUACUCUCGAUUUGAAACAAUUUCUUUGGUAUUUGGAGAUUCCCCCUCUCAAUUCGAGGUAGGCGAAGGUUCUCGGCCACACGAGGGUUCUCUUGAGGCAGAGGAACGCUCUUAAAGAAUUGUUUUGUUGUAUCCAUGGGGAUUAAUCCGUUUGACGGAAAUGUUUUGUUUUUGAUUAGUGUGAUUGAACACCAAAGAGGUUUUAUGAAUUGUGAGAGAUGAGCUGAUCAGGCUCACUUGCCUUUUUUAAAGAAAAAAUUUUAACAAGUAUUUUUACUCGGUCUCUCGGGUGCGAGGAUAGAGCUCAGCUUAGGCUUUUUAUCGAGGGAUAAGGUUUUUACAAUUCAUGAGAAUUUUGUCAUAAGAAUGACCAGGCAAUGGUUUCGAUCAUGGCCUAAAAAAUGGCUCCGAAAGUGUUGGGCCAUGUUUUAAUUGGACCCGAAAUCUGCUUUAGUAGGUCCAUUAUUUAUUAUUCCUUUAAAGAGUCCGAACACUUUUCUUUAAAAGAAUUCUUAGAAACUCGUAGUUUUUUGUAAGAAAAACGAGACUAUGCCGCUAUACUCUUUCAGAUCCAGCUCAAGAGUAACAACCUCAAGCAGGGAUCCACUAUUUGAAUCCGAGGACGGAUUUUCUCCCAAGGGAGUUAUUCACCCCACGUUUUUCCAUUUCCGAACGGAGAAAGAAAGGGUCCAAUGUUAUGACUUCCUGGAAAAGGUUCCCUUUCUGAUUUUUAGUUUUUUCGAGAAACUGUAAACUCUUCUACGACCAGUUAACAAAAUGUUUGUUCAAACAGGUCGUCGGGAGACACAAAGCUUUAUGUGAUACGAGAAAAUGAAUCGGAAGAAGGCGUCGUGCUCUUGAUGAGCGAAUAAAGAGGAUAGAAAGAGAGCUCCUUCGCCUAGAAUCUGAACCGCAUGAAUGGGAGAGGAACGGUUUAGACAUUGUGGCCAUUAUUCCUACUUGCCUCCGAAGAUUCCUUCGUAUGCUGGAUAAAUUUUUUUAUCUAUCGUUGGCAACCGGCGACAGAUCCUCUUUUGCUUCAUGUUCUUCAGAAUUUUGGAGAUUUCCGAUGUUAAGAACUGAAGAAAACGAAGGACCAGAGGAGAAAACUAUUGAUCAUCCUUCCGGUCCCCUAGAUUUAUCUUCCGACGAGGGACUUUCUUCAUAAAGCUGUUCGGGAUCGUCCACCUCGCUAGAAUCGUUAUCGGGCGAAGACUUCUGAUCGAACAAGUCCCUUGAUUUUUUUUUUUAUUAUUACUAUGUAACAUACUAUUGGGCUAGAGGCCCUGUAACAUUAAUUAUAUUUCCCUUUUCGCCUUAAAUUUGCCGAUUUACUCAAAUCUUAUUUAAUGCGUUUAUCUAGGGAAUAUAAUUAGUAAUUAACUCGAUUACAUUUUCCACGAAAGUAGUAAUUUUAGAUUUGGAAAAUCGUCAAUUAACCCUCUUAUAUGUGAUUGAGUAUAUUUCGAAUAUAAAGCAGAUGUAAAUCAUUAUUGAAUUUAAUCAACAAUAAUUCUAUCAAAAUGUUUGAGGAAGGUAAAUUCUCAGAGAAUCCCUUCGACUCUAUUAAAAAGAUAAACGAUGAUCUUCCGGAAACGUCAGACAUCGAUCUUGUAAAACGAAAGCCAACGGCGAACCAGAAGAGUCACGCCCAUUGGGGUGGGGAACCAGUAUUCAGGUUCCAAAUGUGUUAUUUAACUCUUUUUAUUAUUGCUAAACGAAGCGUUUCAUUUUCUUCAGCUUAUCAUACGGCACGACGAGCUCGAAAAUGAGAAAAAAAUAGAUUAGGCAAAGGAUCAUGGAACUAGAGAAGCGUCGCCUCGAUAUUGCUCGAGAGCUUCAUCGCCUCGAAGCCCAUCCUUCUGAUUGGAGUACGGAAACAUGCCAGGUUGUGUUAUGAGCAUCGUUGACCUCGCAGGUCAAGGAGUAAAGUUAUUCCGUAACUCAAGACCCUUUUAGAUUUGGUUCUAGCUUAUCUAGAAAUAUUUAUUUAUACAUCGUUCGCAAUGUAUUUUUAUAUUUAUGCUCGAAUAUUAAAUUUAUAAAAACAAGACUCCAUGAUUGGAAUAAUAUUUUUAUUUUUAUGUUAUAGCUGGACUCGUGUUUAGCGAGCUGCCUACGUAGCCAAAAUAGGAUCAAGCCAAAUCGUAGUUCGAUUGUGUUUGCUUUAGUAAUAGAACUUUUUCAAGUUGAUGAUGUUCCAAGGCCUUUGAACGGGGUUUCCAUCAAGGUCUUGUAAACGGUAAACACCAUUUCGGAUUUUUUCUGUGAUUUGAUAAGGACCUUCCCAGUUAAUACCGAGUUUUCCAGCUCCUUCUUCUUUUGUGUUAUCGAACACUCGUCUUAAAACAAAGUUUCCUACAUUUAAAGGUCUGUUUUUCAACUUUGAGUUAUAGUACCGAGCGGUCAAUUGCUGAUAUUUUUGAAGUCGAAUAAGGGAUUGAUCUCGCUUUUCAUCGAUUGUAUCAAGAACGUCUUCUAAUAAUUUAGAAUUUAGUUCUUCGUUAAGAGGAGCUUCGCUCCGGCGUAAACCAGGAACAUUCAGUUCGGCUGGGACUACAGCUUCCAUCCCAUAUACUAAUGAGAAUGGAAUUUCUCCCGUUGCUCGUCUCGGGGUUGUUCGAUAUGCCCACAACACAGGUUGCAGCUCGUCAUACCAACCACCUUUCCGAGCAUUCAAACGCUUUUUAAGAUUGCUGGGAAUGGUUUUAUUGGAAGCUUCCGCUUGCCCAUUUCCUUGAGGAUACCUUGGCGUUGAAUAGCUAAGUUUUAUUCCCCAAGCAGAACAAAAAUCUUCAAAUUCAUUUGAAAUGAAUUGAGGACCGUUGUCCGUUACUAUUUCGUAAGGAACUCCAUGGCGACAAAUAAUGUGUUUCCACAAGAAUGUUUUUACCACAGAAUCUUGUAUAUUUACGUAGGCUUCUGCUUCGAUCCAUUUGGAAAAAUAGUCCGUUAGAACUAAUAAGUAUUGGACGCCUCGCGUUGAGCGAUGCAUCGGACCAACUAUAUCCAUUGACCACCUCAUGAAAGGGUAUGGAGCGGAUAUGGAUGAUAAAAUUUCAGAUGGCUGGUGAAUAAGAGGAGCGUGCAUCUGACACUUUUUACACCGUUUGGCGUACUCGAUGCAAUCAGAAAUCAUAGUUGGCCAGAAAUAUCCUAACCGUUUGAUUUUGAAAGCCAUUGCUCGUCCCGAAGAAUGACUACCACAAAGCCCUUUGUGGGCCUCGCUUGUUACUAUUUCCACCUCGGGUCCGAAAAUACAUAAAAGAUAAGGAUCACUGACGCCUCGCUUGUACAACGACUCUUUAAUUAUACAAUACUUAGCGCUGAUAAUUUCUAAUUUGCGAGCUUGCCAUUUGUUCGAUGGUAGUUCUCCACUAAGAAUGAAAAUUUUGAUGGGUACCCUCCAGUCAGCCCCCCAAUCAUUAGCGGAAGUAUUAUCCUUGAGUAUAAACUUCCUUGGUUCGGGUUCGGAAGGAAUAUCAGGAUCUUCGAUUGUUUCCCGAACUUCUUCAUCACCAGGAGGUGUCUGUUCAGUUCGAGACAGUUCUUUAGCGGGAACCUCUUGAUCCUUCAACAUUCUUCUUGGCUUUCUUUUAGGAAGUUCCAGUGGUGAAGUAAGUUCAUCAUCCUGAGAUUUUACUCGUGAUCUGGUGACGACAAACGAACUAUUUUCAUUUCCGAAACUUAAUUUUGGAGUUUCUAUAUGCUCGGCCUCCAAAAUGUUAUCGUUUUCUGUUUCUUCAACCGAAAUACUUCGUGAAGAAAGACAUUCAACAGGGAUAACUCGUUUGAGCUCAGGAUCCGAGGUAGAGGCUAGGGCAGCUAAAGCAUCUGCCGAAGUAUUUUCUCCUUGAGGUAUUCGAACUAAUUCGAACUCUUUGAAUUUUCCGGCUAAUUUUUGACAGCCGAAAGAUAGGCUUCCAUUCUAGGAGCCUUAGCUUCGUAUUCUCCAGCGAACUGGUUUACAACUAGCUGAGAAUCACAAUAAGUUAUUAUUUUUUCUGCUCCAAUUGCAAGAGCAAGCUGAAGUCCUGCUAAGAGAGCUUCGUAUUCUGCUUCAUUGUUCGAAGCUGGAAACAUUAAUCGAAAUGAUUGUUCGAUUAUUUUCUUUGUCGGAGUUUCGAGCCUAAUACCGAUUCUGGACCCUUGUUUAGAAGAAGACCCAUCUACAUGUAAUUUCCAUGUAGAGUUUGUUUCAAUAAGGAUUUCGUCAUCCGGUGGCAGUUCGGUCAGAAAAUCAGCCAGAACUUGUGCCUUUGCGCUAGUUCGACUUUUGUAUUCUAUAUCGUACUCACUGAGUUCAUAUCGUACUCACUGAGUUCGAUUGCCCAUUUCGCUAAUCUACCGGACUGACUUGGUCCAUGAAGAAUUGAGCGAAGCGGAUGGGAAGUCAGAACUUCAAUCGGAUGAGAUUGGAAAUAAGGUCUGAGCUUUCUAGCAGAUAUGACUACUGCUAAAGCUAAUUUUUCUAUCAUGGUAUAUCUUGUUUCUGGACUGGUAAGAGAUUUACUUAAGUAGAAAAUCGGCUUCUGAUCACCUGGAUCCUCUCGAACUAAAACCCCACUUACAGAAUGAUUAGAAACCGAGAUGUAAAGAUAAAGUUUCUCAUCUGACUCAGGUUUUGAGAGAACCGGCGGUGUCAAAUAAGUUUUUAGUUGAUCGAAAGCUGCUUCGCAUUGAUCAUCCCACCGAAAUUUUUUGUUCCCUUGUAAAAUCUGAUAAAAAGAGAGACAUUUAUCGGUAGACUUCGAUAUGAAACGAUUCAACGCAGCAAUUCUGCCCGUCAAUCGCUGGACCUCUUUAAUGUUUUUUGGUGAAGGCAUUGUGAGGAAAGCGUUAAUCUGACUAGGAUUUGCUUCUAUUCCUCUUUCUGUAACUAUGUAACCUAGGAAUUCUCCAGAAGGUACACCAAAAGAACAUUUAGCUGGAUUUAAUUUCAUUCCGAAUUCAUUCAGAAUUUUGAAACAUUGCUCAAGAUGUGUGAUGUGCUCAGAUUUCUUAAGAGAUUUUACGAGCAUAUCAUCGAUAUAAACUUCCAUCGUUUUGCCCAAAUGUUUUGAAAAUAUUUUGUUAACUAGACGUUGGUAUGUUGCCCUGGCAUUUUUUAGACCGAAUGUCAUAACUUUAUAACAGUAGAUUCCUCUAUCUGUUAUGAAAGAUGUUUUCUCUUCAUCUUCGGGAUUCAUCAUGAUCUGAUUAUACCUAGAAAAUGAAUCCAUGAAUGUCAAUAGUUCGUUUCCGGCUGUUGAUUCUACGAGCCGAUCGAUAUGAGGGAGAGAAAAACUGUCUUUUGGACACGCUUUGUUAAUGUCAGUGAAAUCGACACAUAAGCUCCACUUUCCAUUUUUCUUUUUGACUACCACGGGGUUUGCUAACCAGUCCGAGUAUUUUACUUCUCUAAUCGAACCAAUUUUCAAAAGCUUAUCAACUUCGUCAUUGACCGCUUGAGCUCGGUCAGGAUCCAGUUUUCUUCUUUUUUGCUUUAUUGGUUUAAAACUGAGAUCGUCAUUUAAGUCAUGGGUAAUGAUACUUUUGUCGAUGCCAGGCAUAUUGGUAGUAAGAUUUUAACUAAGAUCAAUUAUCCUUAAAUCACUAUCAUGUCAUUGCAGUAUUUAAGGUGUCAAUCCAAAUGGGUGUGAUGCUAGCAAUCAAGAUGUAAUCAGAUAUCACAGAGUCAAGCCAAGCAAUAACAGGUUUUGAUGUUGUCAACAGCUCUAGUGUUCAUUCAGAUAACAGAAAUUCUAACAAUAACAGGCAAUAUACUCGACCAACACAGCUUGAUGCGAAGCACUGGGUGUGGUCGAGUAUCAGGUCGAGUAACUUAACAGAAACUGUAAACUGGGUACUCGACUACACAGUUUGUUACCAAACUACUGGGUGUGGUCGAGUACUUCAAAUGAAACAGGCUAGAAAUGAUAAAACUAAGCAACAAGUGACAAGAUCAAGCACUCAAAAGCGAUGUAAGCAAAAAAAUCAAUUGGAAGAGAAAUUCCCGAGGAUGGGGUGAUUGAGUAGUGAAGUCUCCUUAAUCUAACAGGUGGUUAACAUGCUCAACAAACUAUCCCUAGACAACAAGUUCAAUAGCCAAAUCAAAGUGCUACCGCAACAGAGAUCCUCAAGCAAAGCUAGUCCCAGACUCAAUCACCAUUGACAAGAGCUAACCUAACAGGCAUUACGAAACAUCAAGUCUAAGCCAAAACGCUCCCUGUAACCAAUACCUUGGUACAGAGCCACGAAUCUCUGGAAUUAGUGGUUCAGACAUUUCAUCGAACACCUUUUGGGUGCGGAAAUGUCUGGGCUCAGAUUCCAGUUGAUCAGAAAGCAAUCAGCAUUAAGAACAACUAAUCCAGAAGGGAUCUACCAAUCAAAUUCAACCACCUAGCAGAUCAAGGAUUCUAAACUACUCUAACCCAUCCUCAAGAACCCUAAUCACUACUCAAAAUUCAUAACCAAGAACACAAACCCAGAAAUACAUAAAAACUUCAUAUUAGCAAGAUCUCAACAAGAUGACCAACUUUGUAGAAGAAAUUAAAAGCAAAUACUCAACAGAUUAAGAGAAAUCUGGAUUACAAAUAUGAAGAAAGCACUAAUUGUUCUCCAAAAUAAAACUUAGACAGAAUAAAACUUAGUCUGAAAAUUAUGAGAAACAACCUAUUUAUAGCAAAUACUAGGAAACCCUAAAUCACAAGACGACAAAGUAUUAAGGCGGUUUACGGAGACAUUCGGCUUCGUGCAAUCGAGUGAAGAGGUCGAGCAAAGCUGGCUCCUUUGCGGUUUCUUGAUCUGGUCGUGAUGCGAUCGAGUGACUAGGUCGAGUAUGCACUCGAGUCCCGCUUCAUCUUCUUCUCUUCCUUAUGCUCAGUGUCUGGUUGAGUUGGGAUCUGAGAAGCCUCUGAAGCGUGCAGUCGAGUGCUUGGUCGAGUAAGUUGGUGGAGGAUACUCGACUACGUGCUCGAGUCGUGAUCUGGAGUCGUGGUCUACUUGGUGAAGGAGAGGGUACUCGACUUGGUGAUCGACUUGGUGCUCGAGUUGGUGAUCGACUUGGUGCUCGACUUGGUGCUCGACUUGGUCGUGGUCGAGUGCAUUUGGAAGGUCAUGAUGAUGGUGCUCGACCUCGUGGUCGAGCAUACUGAUGGGUUCUGGUCCACUUCUUCCAAUUUGCUCACCAACAGCUCCAAAUCACCUGAAAACAACUCAAAUAUGCAACAUGCAUGCAAAACUAUCCUAAUCAUGCAAAGUGAUGACAAAUGAUGAAGAAUGGUAUGAAACAAUGACGAAAUGAUGAUAAAGUGAUGCUAAAUGGAUGCUCAAAACAAGUAAAAUAUAGACAUAUCAACUCCCCCAAACUUAGUCUUUGCUUGCCCUCAAGCAAACAAUUAAGAACAAGCUGGAGGAGAGGUUUGAAAGCGGGGACUCAGAACCAAAGCAUGCAAACAAAGCAAAUGAACUCAAUGUCCAAGUUAGUAAUUGUGGAAUGCUUAGAGACCAAACUCUACUUAAAAACUUUAGCCAUAUUCAUCACAAGACAACCUAACAUUUGUUCCAAUCUACACACACCUUCAGAUCAUCAAUUCCCUUUAACAUUGAUUAAGCUCAAACCAUGAAUCAAGCAAAACAUUGUUGAAGAACUCAUUUGGUUUAAAGGACAAGGCUGAGAAACAAAGAUGGUUCCUCUGUAAAUGGUUUCGGACUUUUUCACAGUAACAGGGAACUCUCAUGAAUGGACAGAGCUUUAGUAGAAUACUAAAGGUUAGAACCAACCUACGCAUACAAGAACAGACCCCAUCUACCCAAAUAACCAUAAGUAUAUCAAACUCCAUAGAUGGUCCUAUCUCUAAACCCCAGAAAUGAUCCUAAUUCUACCCUUUUGCACUCAAGGCAUGUUUCAAUAAUCUCUUGGAUCAACCCAUUCUUUGUUUUUGGUUUUUGUUCUAAGGAGAGGUUUUCUUUUAGACUUUCUAGCGGAUUGAGACUUUCUUUAACAACUAAGGCUCUUCUUCUCAUCUCAUGACUUAAGACAACUCUAGGCUUUUGCCUUUCUUUUUACUUUGCACAGAGCCUAACUUCUUUUAUUUUCAAGCUUCCCAAUUCCUUUACUAGACUAACAUGAUAUUCUUUUCUGUUUCACUUCCAUCUCCUAAGAAUAAUAACACUUGUCUUUCUUUCUCAUUUUUAUUCCAAACACAUUCCCAAACCCAAAGUAAAACUCCCACCUAGUCCUAUCUAGCCCAAAAAGCGUGGACUAGAACUACAUGGGAUACCAUUCUUGUCGGUUCAUACCUAACACUUUCUACCAAGCUCAAUCCGGAAAUAGGCCUCACACACACACAAAUUUAUUCAGGGCUUGAAAGAAAAGUUAGGUUCAGGAUGGGGGAAACUGUUCCAAUGAUGGGAAUCAGCUACUUGGAUUAGCAAGAGUGGUAGAAGGUGAAAGAAAAUCCAAGUAUGUGUAUUGGUAGCCACAAGUUCAACAACAACGCAAAGACAUGAUAAUUAUAAGUCAAGUUCAGGUUCUAAUAGAUAGGGAAAAGAAUCACAUCAAGCAUGCUUCAAUUAAAACAAGAGAGUCAAGUUGUGAAUUCCAAAUAUGGUGCAGUCUUAAUUCAAGUUCUAUCACAAGCAUUAAACAACUAAUAACGAGGGCAUUGAAUUCAUUCAGUAAAUGAGCAUGCUUACAAGGUUAUCUCAUCAUCAUCCCCUAUGCAAAUGCAACAAUCCUAUAUGAAACCUUCUAGACUCAAUCUUAAAAUGAAAAUGCAACUACAUGAACACUCUAUUUUUGUGAAAUCAUUUUCAGAAAUUUUUCAAAUUUUUAGGGUUUUUUUUUUCAAUGACAUAAAUGAAUGCAGACAAUAUGCACAAUGCAAGAAAAAUUUGAAAACAAGAACAAAGCAAACACAUCAGAUACUUCCUGAGCCCUCCCCCAAACUUAAAUUACACAGUCCUCUGUGUGACCAAAUUUGGAAGAGAGUACCCAGGACAAACAAAUAAAGAAAGAAAACAUGAGAUGGUAUAAACAAUGGGGAAGUGGAGUUGUUACCUCAACUGAAGAAGGAGUUGAUGUUCUCAUCAAUGCUUGCUUGUGUGUACAGCUAGGCCAUUGAUGAGUCUUAUUGUUGGGCUUCUGCUCCUUCUCCUUCUUGAGACUCGACCAUGUCAUCUCAUUACCAUAUGGCUUCUGUUGGUCGAGUAUGAUCUUGAUUUUGAAAAAUUUGGAUCAAAAAUCACAUCAUACUCGACUGCAACUCUUCAUCAGCAUGUGGCCUCGCGUGAUAGAGUGACAUGUUGAAACUUCAAAAAUCUUGAAACUGAGACCCAUUUCAUACUCGAUCGCACAGCUACACUUGCUCUUUGCAGGAUGUGGUCGAGUGUUCUGUUGCACACUGAGCCAGAAUCCACUUCACUCAGCUGUUGAUACUUACUCCUGAAAGCACUACCAAAAUGCAUUAAAAAUAACAAGGAAAGUAAAAAUAUAUACAUGGAUAGACAUGGGACUUCCUCCCAAGUGAGCUUGUUUUAAGUCAUUAGCUUGACUUCCUUACUCCCUUAAGCAUCAAGAGGUUCCUGGAGAUGAACUGAGGUCACCUCUGGAAGGAUUUGAUCUGCUAAGUAUUUCUUGAGUCUUUGGCCAUUCACUGUGAAAUCUCCACUCUUACCAGCUAGAGUGACUGCUCCAUAAGGGCGAACUUCAGUAACACAGAAGGGACCAGACCAUCUAGACUUGAGCUUUCCUGGAAAGAGUUUCAGGCGAGAAUUGAAUAGCAGCACCUGAUCACCAACUUGGAAGUCCUUGGUGAUGAUCUUCUUAUCAUGGAAAAGCUUAGUCCUUUCUUUGUAGAUUUUAGAGCUCUCAUAAGCUUCUAAGCGAAUCUCAUUGAGAUCAUUUAGUUGGAUCAACCGCUUCUCCUCAGCGGUUUUGAUGUCAAAGUUCAGGAUAGAGAAGGUUGAAGGGAGUUGUACCAAUAGGGGUUUUGAAUGCUGUCCUGUAAGCCCAUAGUGCAUCAUCUAGCUUUGCAGAAUAGGGGUUUUGAAUGCUGUCCUGUAAGCCCAUAGUGCAUCAUCUAGCUUUGCAGACCAGUCUUUCCUUGUAGUCCCCACAGUAAGGAGUGGCUACCUUAUGCUUCACUCCGUGUUUCUUCAAUAAGUUCUCAAAGACUUUGUUGAUGAAGUGUGUACCUCCAUCACUGAUGACGACCCUUGGUAUACCAAAUCUAGGGAAAAUUAUGGUUUUAAACAUCUUCAGAACCACCCUUGAGUCAUUUGUCGGACUUGCAAUGGCCUCAACCCACUUGGACACGUAGUCUACUGCUACCAAGAUGUAUUUGUUCCCAUAGGAAGAAGGGAACGGCCCCAUAAAGUCGAUUCCCCAGACGUCAAAGAUUUCUACCUCUAGUAUAGGAUUUUGUGGCAUUUCAUUUCUUCUGCUGAUGUUUCCCUUCCUUUGGCAUGAGUCACAUCUUGAUAUGAACUGCUGGGCGUCUUUGAACAUGGUUGGCCACCAGAAGCCUGCUUGCAGUACCUUAGAUACUGUCUUAAAAGUCGCAAAGUGACCACCAUAUGUUGAACCAUGACAGUGAAGCAAGAUGUCUUCCACUUCCUCCUCUGAGAUACAUCUUCUGUAAAUUUUGUCUUUACAGAGAGUGUAAAGAUAUGGCUCAUCCCAGUAGUAGUGGUUGAUAUCUCUGAAAAACUUCUUCUUUUCAUAACUGGUCAGGUUGGGAGGCUCUACUCCGCAGGCCAAGUAAUUGACAUGAUCAGCAUACCAUGGAGAUUUUCCUUCAACAGCAUUCAGUUGGUGAAACUCAUUCCCACUGUAAUUCUUUCCAAAGAAUUCUGUAACCAUGAGUUGCUCCUCUGGCAUCGAAUCAUCAAUAGGGACUUCAUCAUCGAUCCUCAUCCUUGAUAAGUGAUCAGCUACACCGUUCUCUAUACCCUUCUUGUCUACUAUUUCCAUGUCAAACUCUUGCAGAAGUAGUAUCCAUCUCAAUAGUCUUGGCUUGGUGUCCUUCUUUGCAUAAAUGUGUCUCAAGGCUGCAUGAUCUGUGUAGACUAUGACUUUAGAACCCACCAAGUAGCUUCUGAACUUUUCAAACGCAAAAACAACUGCCAAUAACUCCUUCUCUGUCGUGGCAUACUUCACCUGAGCAUCAUCCAUUGUUCUACUUGCGUAAUAGAUGACAUGGAGCUUCUUGUCAAUCUUUUGUCCCAAGACUGCUCCUACAGCGUAAUCUGAAGCGUCACACAUGAUUUCGAAUGGAUAGUCCCAGUUUGGAGCUUGGACUAUUGGAGCUGAAAUCAGAGCUUCCUUGAUGAGUUGAAAAGCUUUCAGGCAUUCCUCAUCAAAAUCAAACUCUGUUUUCUUACACAGCAGCCUUGUCAUUGGUCUUGCCAGCUUGGAGAAAUCCUUGAUAAACCUUCUAUAAAACCCAGCAUGUCCCAGAAAACUUCUCACAUCUUUGACACUCCUUGGUGGUUGCAGUUGCACCAUAACCUCAAUCUUUGCUCUGUCAACCUCUAUACCCUUCUCUGAAAUAUUGUGCCCCAAUACAAUGCCUUCUUUGACCAUGAAAUGGCAUUUUUCCCAGUUGAGUACCAAGUUCGUCUCUUCACACCUAGAAAGUACCCUGCACAAGUUUGACAAACAAGAGGAGAAGGAGGAGCCAUACACGGAAAAGUCAUCCAUGAAUACCUCAACCAUCUCCUCAAUUAAAUCCGAGAAGAUAGAAGUCAUGCACCGCUGAAAUGUAGCUGGUGCAUUACAGAGACCAAAAGGCAUUCUUUUAUAUGCAAAGGUUCCAUAUGGACAUGUGAAUGUAGUUUUCUCUUGAUCAUUAGGGUGAAUUGGUAUUGAAAGAAACCACUAUAACCAUCAAGAAAGCAGUAGUAUGGGUGAUUAGCUAACCUUUCUAGCAUUUGAUCAAUGAAUGGAAGUGGAAAAUGAUCUUUCCUAGAUGCAGAAUUCAACUUCCUAUAGUCAAUGCACAUUCUAUGUCCAGUUAUAGUUCUAGUGGGUAUGAGCUCAUCUUUAUCAUUUUUUACUACAGUCAUACCUCCUUUCUUUGGAACACAAUGAACUGGAGAUACCCAAGUGCUAUCGGAAAUAGGGUAAAUUACACCUGCUUCCAAUAGUUUAAGUAUCUCCUUCUUUAUAACUUCUUUUAAAUUAGGAUUCAACCUUCUUUGGGGUUCAAUGCUCGAAUAAGAUUCAUUUUCAAGAUGAAUGCGAUGUGUGCAUAAACUAGGUGAAAUGCCCUUUAUAUCAUCAAGUGAAUAACCAAUGGCUCUUCUAUACUUUUUCAGUUCAGUUAACAGAAGAUGCACUUGUUCAUCAGUUAAUGCAUCAUUCACAAUGACAGGAUAUGUAGAGUUGUUACCUAGAAAUGCAUACCUGAGUCCUUUGGGAAGCGGCUUAAGUUCAACUUUUGGUGCCUUGAGUUCAGACCAGUCGUCUGAUGUUGGAAUGAUCAGCUCCGCAGGGAUGUCAACUGUAGUGGUCGAGUGUUCAGUCGAGUAAGUCCUCGAGUGGGUAGGUUGAGCCUGAGUUGAGUCCUCGUCAUUCACUGCCAUUACCUCUGUUGCUGACCCAUUCAAUUCCUCAAAGGAUUCUGACUCUUCUACUGCUUUGUGUGAGUCCAACAGCUUCUGGUAACCCAAAGUUUCUAAAUGCAGAAACCCUUCUUCACCAUUCUUGGUCAAAGCACUCUUAAGGUGAUCUUCUUCUGCUAGUUCCUCUAGUAACUCAUUAGCUAACUGAUCCAUUUCUUAAAUCCAAAAGAGUUGCCCUUCUAUAGUUGGCUUCUUCAUUGCAUCCUUUAUAUCAAAGGUCAUUUUAAGGUCUUUACCAAGGUUCAGAUCGAUCUUCCCCUUCUUGACAUCAAUGAUAGCUCCAGCAGUCGCCAAGAAAGGUCUUCCCAGAAUCAGAGGGUCCUUUGGUUCUUCAUCCAUUUCAAGCACUACAAAAUCAGUAGGUAUCUCUACGACUCCGAUCUUGAUUGGUAAGUCUUCACGCAGGCCAUGAAGUAUUCUGAUGGAUCUGUCUGCUAGAAUCAGAGAGAUAUUGCAAGCUUUGUAUUUGCUGAAACCAAGUCUUUUCGCAACUGAGAGAGGCAUGAGGCUCACUGAUGCGCCUAGAUCGCAGAGGCAUCUGUUGAAUGAUAAAGGACCUAAUGAACACGGUAGAGUGAAUGAGCCAGGAUCACCAAGCUUCUUUGGAAUGAUCUUCUUCUGUAUAAUAGCACUGCAUUCAUGACUCAAUACUACCAUUCCUUGCACUUCUUGAAUUCUUUCCAUGAUCAGGUCUUUCAGAAACUUGUGGAAAUCCGGAAUAAGCGCGAGAGCAUCAACAAGAGGUAUCCUCAAUUCAACUUCUCUGAUGUUCUUGGCAAACAUAGCUCUGUACUUAUCUGCCAACACUUUCUUGUGACGACCAGGAAAUGGAAGUGGGGGUUUGUAAGGAGGAGGAACAAAAACCUUCUCCUUGUUCUUAGCAGCAACUGGUUUUAGAACAGCAGGUGAUGUUACUGGAAUUGGUGAUCGAGUAACAUGGUCGAGUGGAGGGUCGAGUACUUCUGUUGGCUUGUCAGCUUGAUCUUCAUUGAGAUUGAAAUCCUCCCCAGCUUGGUCUGCACUGUCCUCAGUGGCUGGCUUAGGUCCCUCUCUGGUUGGAAGUUCUUUACCACUGCGCAAGGUGAUAGCAUGAGCUUGAGCAUAGUCUUUUGGAUUCUGAAUUGCUUUGCCUGGAAGUUGACCUAUAGGUUUUGGAGCAGAAGUGGAUGCAGAUUGUCCUUCCAAGUAUCGGACUUUGGAAUUCAGUGCCUCCACUUUGACAUUUAAGUCAUUGUAGCUACAGUCCAGCUUAUUGUGUAAUUCAGAUAUCUUCUUAGCAAUCUCCAUGGAGCCAGAUGCUUGUCCUUGGAGAAGCUGUUGUAGUAUUUGCUUCAUGUCAGAAUCAGGAGCAGCAGGACCUUGGUGUUGCUGAGGUGCAAACCCAGGUGGUGGUUGCUGCUGGUAGUUCCCCUAAAAUUGUUGCUUGGGAGCAAAACCUUGGUUGUAGGGAACAAAAGGUUUAUUCUGACCCUGCUGUUGUUGUGGAGGAUACACUUGAUCCUGUGGAUUAGCAACGUUGGUGCUGCGGUAAGAAAGGUUGGGGUUGUUAGUCUUGAAGUUGUUAUACCCUUUGUAGCCGCCUUGAUUGUUGAUGUAGCUGACCUCUUCUAACUGGUUCCCCUCCCCAUCUUGGACUUGAUACUGCUCGUCAUCAAGUAGAAAGUGCACAUUCUUCUGCUGGCCAAGGAUAAGCCUAUCCAGUUUCUCAUUAAGAGCUUUCAUCUCUUUACUAUGCUUUGCAUCCGAUUCUCCAAUACCUCUGUUGGAGCGAUCAAAAUCCUCGUUAUAAUUACCAUCGGAUUGAGCUAAGUUCUCAAUUAAUUCCCAGCCUUCUUCAACAUCCUUAUUCAAGAAAUUCCCAUUAGAAGCAGUGUCCAGCAACAUUCUGAUCUUGGGCAAAACUCCCCUGUAGAGUGUGCUUAGUAGAUAAGCCUUCUUGAAACCAUGGUGUGGACAUUGUAUAGUGUAGCCUUUGAAUCUCUCCCAGGCUUCACAAAUGGAUUCAGACUGCUUUUGGGUAAAACUGGAGAUUUCAUUCCUAAGCCUUGCAGUUCUUGAAUUUGAGAAGAACUUUGUUAAGAAGGCCUUCUUGCAAUCGUCCCAAGAUGUGAUGGAGCCAGCAGGUAACGUCUUUUCUCAUUGGUGUGCUUUGUCUCCCAGUGAGAAGGGAAACAGGCGCAGCUUGAAACUAUCCUCACUAACACCGUUUAUCUUGGUUAGGCUGCAGAGCCUGUCGAAGUUAUCCAAGUGGUCUAAGGGAUCUUCCAGAGGCAGACCAUGGAACUUGUUUCCUUGAAUCAUCGAGAUGAGACCACUUUUAAUCUCGAAGUUGUUGUUUUGGACAGCAGGAGGCACAAUUCCUUGCCUCUGAUGGUGGUUUCUUGGUGCAUCUCCAGCACCAAUGUUUGCAGGCAGAUUGUUGACAUCUUGUUCAUCAGCCAUUCUGAAAGGAUGGUUGUGUUCAAGGUCUGUAGUGUCUCUCCUUUCCCUUAGUUCUCUGUCAAUACGGUCAAUGUUAUCGUUGAAAAGGAGGUUCUGGUUGCCUUUUGAUCGAGUUUGCAUACAGCAGGGUUGUACCUGGAUCAAGAAGACAACAAGAAAAACAAAAAGUUAGUAACCUAAGUGAAAAUUGAAAUAGAACUUGAUCUAAGCAAGUCUGAAAUCUCAAAUGUAACAAACAAACACCCAAAUGGCAACGGCGCCAAAUUGGUAGUAAGAUUUUAACUAAGAUCAAUUAUCCUUAAAUCACUAUCAUGUCAUUGCAGUAUUUAAGGUGUCAAACCAAAUGGGUGUGAUGCUAGCAAUCAAGAUGCAAUCAGAUAUCACAGAGUCAAGCCAAGCAAUAACAGGUUUUGAUGUUGUCAACAGCUCUAGUGUUCAUUCAGAUAACAGAAAUUCUAACAAUAACAGGCAAUAUACUCGACCAACACAGCUUGAUGCCAAGCACUGGGUGUGGUCGAGUAUCAGGUCGAGUAACUUAACAGAAACUGUAAACUGGGUAUUCGACUGAACAGUUUGUUACCAAACUACUGGGUGUGGUCGAGUACUUCAAAUGAAACAUGCUAGAAAUGAUAAAACUAAGCAACAAGUGACAAGAUCAAGCAAUCAAAAGCGAUGUAAACAAAGAAAUCAAUUGGAAGAGAAAUUCCCGAGGAUGGGGUGAUCGAGUAGUGAAGUCUCCUUAAUCUAACAGGUGGUUAACAUGCUCAACAAACUAUCCCUAGACAACAAGUUCAAUAGCCAAAUUAAAGUGCUACCGCAACAGAGAUCCUCAAGCAAAGCUAGUCCCAGACUCAAUCACCAUUGACGAGAGCUAACCUAACAGGCAUUACGAAACAACAAGUCUAUGCCAAAACGCUCCCUGUAACCAAUACCUUGGUACAGAGCCACGAAUCUCUGGAAUUAGUGGUUCAGACAUUUCAUCGAACACCUUUUGGGUGCGGAAAUGUCUGGGCUCAAAUUCCAGUUGAUCAGAAAGCAAUCAGCAUUAAGAACAACUAAUCCAGAAGGGAUCUACCAAUCAAAUUCAACCACCUAGCAGAUCAAGGAUUCUAAACUACUCUAACUCAUCCUCAAGAACCCUAAUCACUACUCAAAAUUCAUAACCAAGAACACAAACCCAGAAAUACAUAAAAACUUCAUAUUAGCAAGAUCUCAACAAGAUGACCAACUUGGUAGAAGAAAUCAAAAGCAAAUACUCAAUAGAUUAAGAGAAAUCUGGAUUACAAAUAUGAAGAAAGCACUAAUUGUUCUCCAAAAUAAAACUUAGACAGAAUAAAACUUAGUCUGAAAAUUAUGAGAAACAACCUAUUUAUAGCAAAUACUAGGAAACCCUAAAUCACAAGACGACAAAGUAUUAAGGCGGUUUACGGAGACAUUCGGCUUCGUGCAAUCGAGUGAAGAGGUCGAGCAAAGCUGGCUCCUUUGCGGUUUCUUGAUCUGGUCGUGAUGCGAUCCAGUGACUAGGUCGAGUAUGCACUCGAGUCCCGCUUCAUCUUCUUCUCUUCCUUAUGCUCAGUGUCUGGUUGAGUUGGGAUCUGAGAAGCCUCUGAAGCGUGCAGUCGAGUGCUUGGUCGAGUAAGUUGGUGGAGGAUACUCGACUACGUGCUCGAGUCGUGAUCUGGAGUCGUGGUCUACUUGGUGAAGGAGAGGGUACUCGACUUGGUGAUCGACUUGGUGCUCGAGUUGGUGAUCGACUUGGUGCUCGACUUGGUGCUCGACUUGGUGCUCGACUUGGUCGUGGUCGAGUGCAUUUGGAAGGUCAUGAUGAUGGUGCUCGACCUCGUGGUCGAGCAUACUGAUGGGUUCUGGUCCACUUCUUCCAAUUUGCUCACCAACAGCUCCAAAUCACCUGAAAACAACUCAAAUAUGCAACAUGCAUGCAAAACUAUCCUAAUCAUGCAAAGUGAUGACAAAUGAUGAAGAAUGGUAUGAAACAAUGACGAAAUGAUGAUAAAGUGAUGCUAAAUGGAUGCUCAAAACAAGUAAAAUAUAGACAUAUCACAUAUCCUUGGCCAACCAGGCAAAAGUAUGUUUAUUUUCUUUUAGAAAUGUUAGCAAUUGAUCUUUGAUUUCUGAAUCUAAAGUAGUACCGAUUUUUACUUUUCGAUCUGGAAAUUCGGAAUCAAUUUCAAUUUCUGUGGUAACCUCAUUCGAACAGAGACCACUUGGGUAACGCGAAGUGCUUUCUUGCUUAGCAUUUAUAAUUAAUUGUUUGAGCUUUAAACGAUGUCCCAUGAGGUAGCAAGAUCACGACGUUUCCUGAUCUCCUCGAAUGGUUCCAAUUCCACUAGGAGUCGGAAAUUUCACACAUUGGUGAUAAGUCGAAGGUAUAGCCUUCAUUUGGUAUAUCCACGGAGUUCCGAGAAUUAUGUUAUAAGCGGCCGGACGGUCGAAAACAAUAAAUUCUACAAUUUUUGGAACCCCUGCGGCAAGCACUGGUAGUUUUAUGUGUCCUAAGGACAUAGAUGUGUGACUUGUGAAAGCUACUAAUGGUGCCGGUGGACCGAUAAUGUCAGCUUUACUGAUUCCCAUUCUUUGCAAAGUGCUUAGAAAUAUGAGAUCUACCGAGCUCCCAGUAUCAAUUAGACACCGUGUCACUUCGAAGUUCGCAACAUCUAAAGUUAUCACAAGAGCAUCAUCAUGAGGCCCAUCUAAUCCUUGAGUGUCCGAAUCAUCAAAGGAGAUAGAAGGUAGUUGUUCAUUUGAUUGAAAACCCAUAGCGGUUUGAAUUGCUGCUGAUUUCUUGUGCCUUUUGAUCGAUCUGAUCGAAUCUCAGCAUAAUUUGGAUCCUCCCAUUAUAAUAUCGAUCCUUUUCUUAGGAGUGUUCGGAGUUCCAGGCCCAUUAGGCUUAUGUUUCUUUUCAGGAGGAUUCGAAGCUUCGGAAUCUUCUUUUUCUUUAUGGUAAGAUUCCACAAAUUCCUCGAUAUUGAAAUUAGCGAGCUCUCCAGCUGCCCACAGUUCGGUGAGGUGCUUUUUGAGUACGCUGCAAUAUUUGGUGGAGUGCCCGUUUACCUUGUGAAUAUCACAAUAGGCACUUUCGUCUCUAACCCAAGUAUUAGGAGGAUUGUAUCUUCCUUUGCUUGGGGAGGGUUUUCCUACAGCAUUGAUAGAAGGAUUAACUCCGAACCGUUUUUGAUCUUUUGGUUCGAACUUUUUAGUUGGAUUCGCAACGACUAAUUUAACUGGUCGAUGCUUUUUAGCGAGGCUAAGCUUUUCUUCUGCCUCCAUCCAAUUAGUAGCUCUGAAUAAAGCAUCUUGGAUGGUACUUGGACGGUUGACGAUAAUUUCUUCUCGAAAUCGAGAUUCAUGCCAGAGUCCGUUCCUUAAAUCAGAAAGGGCAGCAGCGUGCGAUAACCCAUAAAUUUUGGCUAUCACUUCUUUGAACUUAGCGAUAUAUUUGCGAAGUGGUUCAUUCUGACUUUGGGUUAAAUUCCAGAGAUCCGCAUCAGAAGUUGUCUUUUCCAUAAACAUGGAAUAUUGUUUUAGGAAUACAGAGGACAAUUCCUUAAAACUAUCAAUAGUUUCUGUUUCUAACUGGGUGAACCAUAACAGAGCCGGUCCGGAAAGAUUUUCGGAAAAUAGUUUGCAAAAUCCGGCAUCUUCCUCGCCUGGUUCUAGAUCAAUUCUGCCUGCGGCGAUCUGAAAAGUAGCGAGGUGAUUUUUAGGAUCUCCUUUACCGUCAUAAGUUUGUAACUUAACCUUUCGAGAAUAUUUGAUCCGAAGGUUCGAGAUUCUCGAGGUAAAGGGCGUUCGACGAGUUUCUUCGAUUACUCGAUCGAUCUCAGGCGCCGAACUGGUCGCCUGAUGAAAUUUCGAUUUCAUUUCAUUAAGCUCUUAGCGAACUUUGAUGAAAUCGUCUGAUAAGGUGACAUCAGGAUCUUCUAUAAAAAAUCCGUCGUCAACAGGAAGAUUUCCCUGACCCUGGGGAAUUUCUUCCCCGGCUGGGUUAGUCGCAUCUCCUGCGGCUGUCGGAUUGCUAGUACUAGCAGGCUGGCCUGUUAGAGGAGUUCGAGUAAUCCCAGGUGUCGCGAAUAACCUGCGCUGAUGCGUUGAUGUUCGCGUUGAGGACAAAUUAUCUAAACGGCUUGAAACAACGUUCUGCGCGUUUGACAAAUUUGUAUGGGUGGUUUGAACACUCGUUAAGGUUUGCUCGAUUGAGUUUAACCUUUCACCAAAAGUGGUGUUGGCAGUAACAAGUGUACCCAUCUGAUUGGUCAGAUCGGUGGUUGUCUGAGUAAGCAAGGCAAUUGCAUCGCUCUAUGCUUGCUGAUCAGCCAUAAUUUCUUGGUUGGGAAAGAAAGAUUUUGAGAUUAAAGAGUUUUGUGGUAACUCCUCACAGGCGGCGCCGAAAUGUAGAUGUAGGAUUCACACUCGAUUAUCUUUAAGUAUUUUUGUGGAGAAAAACUCUUGUUAUAUCAGGAACUAAAUAUGAGAAUUUGAAAAGAAAAACAACCAAGAAAAGGAGUAAAAAUUUGAAGAAAGAUGAAGUGCAAAAUGCCUUGCGAAAAUAGUAAAGAGAGAAAGAUGUAUUGUAUUGUUUAGAAGUAAUCAGUAAUGAGAUUCGUCCUCCUCAAACACAUGCGUUUGAGGUUGUUUUUAUAGAGAAAACAUGAUCAAUGCGGUCAUUUACUGCUCAUAAUCGCGUUGAUCCGCAUUAAUCAUGUAAGUUACAUUUUGACCGAAACGGCUUGAAUUUGAACUAUCUUGGGCUUCGCGUCGAUCUUCCAAACUCUUUCUUGUUGACUCCAAACUCCCGCGUCUUGACGCUACCGCGAGCCUCGAAUAAUAUUCUCCUCGCUUCGGCCUUUCUUUAUGCGAACUGUAUGUUGAACAAGAGUGAACUCCGUACUGGUAAAGAUCGAACUCUUUUAGUAAACUGAAUCGAACUCCCGACUUGUCAAGCUCGAUUCUCAUAACAAAAUAUCUUUAAUUCCAAGAGGAUUAUUAUGUAAUAAUGACGUGGACAGAUCCAAGUGGAUCCUACCAAAAAUGUGUGGGAUCCGACCCCAACAGUAUGGAUUCGCGUGAACUCCUGCCUGCCACUAAUCAUCCGAGUUAAACUCAUACAGAACUCCAUCUGCGCCGUCCCACAUAGGCUCAUCAAUCUCACUAUCUCCAAAGAGAAAACCAGUCGCCAUUUGCUCUUUAGACUCUUCCGAAGAAUCACCAUCAGAAUCGUCGGAAAGUACAACAAAGUCAGUGAUCAGAACAUUCUUGAAACUUCCGCCCAAAGAAACCAAAGGCACGACUUCGUCAGACUCUGCACUAGUCUCGACAUCGUCAUCCUCAAACUCAUCAAGAUCUUCCCGCAGGUCAGUCUCGACGGAACUAUCCGAUCCUUCCAUCUCCCUCGUAGGAAUGGAUUCAAUCGAGGUCACUGAAGGACUCAUAGCCAUGGAAGAUUCCGAUUGAGACCCCUCCAACAUUCGCCUCACAUAAUCCGAUGGAAUCACAGAAUCGUCAGAACUACCAUCAUUAUUCCCGUACAGAUUGUUACUUGGUCCAGCACUCGACGAAAAUCUCCACGGUCGUCCACCUCGAAGCCUAGUAUGUCGCGACGAUAUCUACAUCACCAAAACAAGGUUAGUCCUAAGGUAGAAGUGCGACUCUUAUUUUUGAUUCGAUAAAAUAAACAUCACAACACAAAAUUUCUCUUUUGUACUUCCAUGUACAUUCACACAUCACAAUACUUUUUCGCAUCUCAUCACCAUAUUUUUCCUCUUCACAACACAACACAAUACAACACAACACAACACACAAAGUUAUCUAACGAUAAGACUUUGUUCAAUCCAUAAACUUAUCUUACAUUCAUAUCAUACAUUCUUUCUUACAACGGUGGGUUUGCACAUACCCAUUCAAACUAUCUUACAAUUGCGGAUUUAUAACCACUACACACUUGCUCCCAUACUUUUCGCCGAAGAGAUUACAAACCGGUAUAGUACAAUCCUAAAAUGCAUUGCUAGAAUGAAAUAUAACAGAGAAUCAUAUAAUGACUUAAAACCCUUACUUACCUCGUUGGAACCCAACGAUUUGAAGGUUUAGGGUAGUCCUAGUUAAUACUAAGGUUUUUCUUCUUCUUCGCGGACGUACUCGAGCUUGGGCUUGACGGACUAGGGUUCUCUGGACGCUUCCUUGGACGCACGGUUUCAUAAUGACCUUUAUCUCCAUACUCAUAACAGAUCACGUACGGGCGAGCAUAAGGAUGAUAGUGACAAGCAUAAGGACAAGCUCUCGGGUAAUGACCAUCUUGGCCGCAAGUGAACAAAACGGUGUCACACUAUAAGGUUCGGACCUACGUCCAUCCUCACGCUCCAUCUCAGUCACAACGGUUCCAUCCGGGGAUCUCCUUAUCCUCUCAUUCCAAAUGGGCAUACCUUCGGGUGGUCGGAUCGGCUCAGUACCAAGGGUACCCACAAAAAUCAUGUUCUCAAUCAUCGUAGCCAUGGAACUACAUCCCAAAGUCACCGGCUCACGAAUCGACUCAUCUAGGGGAAAUAACACUCCCGGCUCCUCAACAGGUGGCAAAGUAUUCGGUAAGGUCUCACACUCAAACGUCAGAUCCGGCACUUCUUCAUCCACUUCUUCGUCAACUCCUUCAUCCUCAGAACUCAUAUGGAACAUCUCACUAGUAGCUCUAUCAUACCCAUCAUACCAAGUUCUACUCGCAAAUCUCCUUGGCAAAAUAGACAUCCUCGACAUCUCGCUCUUUACACAGUUGGAAAAUGGUACCCCAUUACCCAACUCAUCCGCAUCAGAUAACUCACUAUCCGACGAGAUCUCAACAAAGUUCAGAGUUGGCGAACUAGAUAGCGUAGAAAAUUCGACAUCGAGCGACACCAUGUUGUAAGCCAGCGCUUGCCUAGGAAUCCCAUAUUCUGGUGGCAUAAACAUAACACAGUCAGAAUCGCGCGAGGCAUUACCUUCCGAAGGCGCAUCAGAAACACAAAAGUCUGUCCCCAAGGACAUUGAGCUGAACAAAUCCAACGUCAACAAGCUAUCCGGCGUUGGAGGAUAAAGGUACGGAUUCGCGUGAACUCCUGGCUACCACGAAUCGUCCGAGUUAAACUCAUACAGAACUCUAUCUGGGCCUUCCCACAUAGGCUCAUCAAUCUCACUAUCUCCAAAGAGAAAACCAGUCACCAUCUGCUCUUUAGACUCUUCCGAAGAAUCACCAUCAGAAUCAUCGGAAAGCGCAACAAAGUCAAUGAUCGGAACAUUCCCGAAAUUUUCUCCCAAAGCAACCAAAGGCACGACUUCGUCAGAAUUUGCACGAGUCUUGACAUCGUCAUCCUCAAACCAUCAAGAUCUUCCGACGGGUCAGUCUCGGCGGAACUGUCCGAUCCUUCCAUCUCCCUCGUAGGAAUGGAUUCAACCGAUGUCACUGAUGGACUUGUAGCCAUGAAAGACUCCAAUUCAGACCCCUCCAACAUUCGCCUCACAUGUUCCGACGGAAUCACAGAAUCGUCAGAACUACCGUCAUUAUUCCUGUACGGAUUGUUACUUGGUCCAGCACUCGACGAAAUUCCCCACGGUCGUCCACCCCGAAGCCUAGUAUGUCGCAACGACAUCUGCAUCACCAAAACAAGGUUAGUCCUAAAAUUCCCAUCUACUUAAAUCCCACGUUGGAACAACUUGGUUUAUCCUAAGGUAGAAGUACGACUCUUAUUUUUGAAUCGAUAAAACAUCUGAAAAGCGAGAUGGUUCCCGAGCAUCUGUAGCAAUGCUCUAAUAUGAUUAAAGGUUGGAUUGAACAAACGAUAAUGAUGAAACAUGAAUUGUUGAAGGAUUGGGAACGGUUAAAAACUUUGGUUUAGUAUCUGCAAUUUUUUUUACACAUUCAAUGGUGGAUGACGAAGUUGCGUGGAGGAACAAUUUUUAUAAUUGAUUAGGUGAGUACCCUUGCUACGCGAGGGUUUUUUCAACUUAAUGAUCCAAUGACAUGCUUUGUUAUGUAAAGUCUAUAUAAUAUGAAUUCAAAAUUAUUUUCAAUGCAUAUUUUAAUUUAAACAAUUGUUGAGAUUGUUUGUUUGUGCUAGGAGGAAAAUGUGGUUAAUCUUUUAAUAUAAGUACUUAAGUAGUGUGUUUCAAAUUCUUAGUGAGAUUUAAUAACAAAGCAUUUGACAUGGAAAAAAAAAAUCUAGCAUUUGCAGCAAUAAACCAAAUGCAGGAAACUCGACCUUGAACUUGGCCAUGAUAAUGAAUAAUUUCGGAGUUAUAAUAGUAGAUAAGUUAGAAACCGUUGUUUACAAGAAUGUGUGUUUAAAUCUAUAUAACCCUCUGUCAUGUGAUGUAGCAAGAUCAAGCUCGUGUGGGAUAGUCAUCUUUUUUCAUGGCAUGUUAUGGGGUUUGGAAGAGUUGUAUCCUACAAAAUCAAUUAGCAAUUUGCUAUAUGGUUUCUCAUUAAGAAAUCUCUUUUUUAGUGAGAAGGUUGAAUAUCUUUAUUCACCAACAUUAGAAAGGUGGUUUCGAAAAUCAAUGACGAUGACCAAACAUAACGAAAUCACCUAGGUACAUGAUUUCCAUCAACCGAAUUGCCUAUAUAUGGAAAUUCUACCAUGAUCCAACGUGAGGCUCGUUUCUUUAUUCCUAAUCAUUACUCUUUUCUCUGCACAUUCUUCACAAUCUCUAUCGAAAUUAAAAUCAAAGAAAGUCUUUCAUAAGUAUAAUAGUAAGUUUAGUUAUAUCAUAGAAAGUCUAUACGAAGUACGUAAUUUAUGAAUCUUAGACAUGCCAUUUUCUUAACAACAGCUCCUAUUAAUGCAUUAAUUUUUUAAAACCUGUCCUUAUGGUUCAGAUAUUCUUGGAAGAAUAAAAAGCUUAUAUUAUUGUAACAAAGUACUAAUAAUCUUAGAUUUAUAAAAUAUAUAUAAGAGUAAAUUUACCUUGUCAUAAAGUACUCACAUAUAUCUCCCAAGCAUAAUGCCUAGCUUGGUAAAAAAUCUAAGCCAUUAUUUUAAAAAUAUAUAGCAGGAUUUGGUGAAACUCAAAGAGAAACUAUAUUUCUGAAAAUUGUAAAUUAACAAACCAUACUACAAACUUGGCAAUGGUCGGGCAGACAAUAAAGAAAAGUUUGUCUUUUAGAACCAUCUAUUCAUUUAUAGGACCAGAGUAUAAUACCUAACCCGUGUUCAAAAAAUCGCUAGGCGCUAGUCGGGCGGUGAGGGUGCGCCUAGCGCCUAGCAAGAAAAUCGGGGAUUACAUGGGGAUUAAUCAGAGAUUAGUUUUAGGGCUAUUUAAUAUUUUAAAAACAUAUUAAUCCAUUAUAAUUAAGUAAUUUAUAUAAUAUUGUUUUUAAAAUUGUAUUAAACACAUGAAAACAAGAUUUUAAUUUCAAAUUUAUGAUUUUUAUACAAAUUACGAACAUAAGUAGGACGUUUUGAAUUUUAGAUGAAAAAAAAAGUAAAAAAAAAAAAAAAAAAAAAAAAAAAAAAAAAAAAAAAAAUUGGGCUAGGCGCCGUCUAGGCGGGCUAGGCGGCCGCCUAGGCGGUCCAGGCGGGCAAAAAAUCGGAUCUCCGAUUUUUCUCACCGAUUUGGACAAAAUCGCCGCGGUGCUCCUCCGAUCAGCGCCUAGGCGGCCGCCUAGACGGCUAGGCGGCCGAUUUUUAGAACAGGGUACCUAACUAACACAAAAAUAACAUAAGAGAUACCGUUGCAUCAAUACUAAUAUCAAUUGAAUAGAUUGAAAUUCCUAGAACACCUCAAUUAACAAUACUAAAAUUAACUCUGGAACCAUAUGCUACUUCCAAUAACUAUUUUACUGAAAAAGUAUGAUCUUACCAGCUAGCUGGAAAAAUAGGCUUUUACGACAGAGUUUAUCGCACAUGUUCUUCAAUCUAAUUAAAAGACUUGACAGAAGCCAUGACAGCAACAUGACGAGAGGUGCCAUGAAGGCAGCAGAGAUGUUAACAAACUUGAGAAUUUGGUGUCACCAUCCAAUUCAGUAUAUGAUCUUUUGAAAGUAAGUGCCUCCCGAUAUUUUUCAGGUGCAGCGAUCUGAAGCAAUUGUCCACAAAAGAGUCAACAUAAGGUUAGACUUUAUCAUAAACGUAGGGAUUG